GAAGAAGAGGAGGAAGAGGAGGAAGAAGAAGAGUUGGAGGAAGAGGAGAUGGAGGACGGUAUUCAGUCAGUGGACAGUCUUUCAAGUACUCCUACUGGAGUUGAGACUCCUGAUGUUAUUGACCUUCGCAAGCAGCAGAGGAAGGAGCCCGAGAAGCCCCUCUAUCAGGUGCUUGAAGAAAAAGAAGAAAAGGUAGCUCCUGGUACUCUUCUUGGAACAAGCCAUACGUAUGUGAUCAACACUGGCGCUCAAGACAAGGCUGGUGCCAAAAGGGUUGAUCUGCUCAAAGGUCAGAAGUCGGAUAGAGUUGAUGUCACAUUGGCACCUGAAGAGUUGGAACUUAUGGACAAUGUUUUACCAGCCAAAUACGAGGAAGCUAGAGAGGAAGAGAAGCUCCGUAGCCAGCGUGAGGAUUUCAGUGACAUGGUAGCAGAGAAUGAGAAGAAGAGGAAGCGUAAAAUGCAGGAGAAGGAUGGCAAGUCGAAGAAGAAGGAUUUCAAGUUUUGAGGUUCUGAUAUAUUGUUCCAUCUAGUUUAGGGCUGCAGUACAUCCAGCUUAGGGUAAUAGCAUUAGUAGGUCUCCAUAUGCACUGCGAUAAAUCUCGUAUGCUGUGAUGAGAGUGUUUUCCCAUGCGUUGAAGCGGGGAGAGUUGGUGUAUGAUAAUCUAUCCUAUGAAAUGUGCUUAGUUUGUACCUCUUGUUUCAUUUCUACAUACGUUGAGCUGUAUGUGAAAAUAGAAAAUCUCUUGCCCUAAUUUAGAUGUAUGCUCGACUUGGUUAUAAUUUUAGUAUUAGAUUGUACAAACUUUU
rnacentral:misc_RNA from 1 species